rnacentral:lncRNA from 1 species
UAAAUUUUGACCCUAAAGGCAUAUCAUUCUAGUAAGUGAGAUUGUAAGUCUCCCUCCUUUCACGGUAUUGUAUGGAAACUUGGCCUUUUUUUCUUCCUUUGGAAGAUGUCUUGGUACAAGGAUCCAUGCUUGUGAAUAGAGGAUUGAGUGUUCUCCAAAGAAUGACUUAAUCAAUUGAAAAGCAAACUCCACUAACUCCUAAUCAACUAACAUUUGAC